AUGGAGAGGAAGCAGGCCGACUACAGCAACCUGGACGAGAGGUACACCAUCCAGGGGGAGAGGUACCAGGGUCAGCAGUACAGCCACAUCUACUACACCCGCCUCCACCACAUGCGCACCCUCCUCCACGUCCUCGUCCCCUCCCGGAAGCCGCACCUCCCCGUCACUACAGUGCUUGGACUCGAAGAAGGAAAAGAUUGUGUGCUUGUUGGGACUUUAUACAAGCACAUGAAACUGAAGCCUUCUAUUCUCGAUGAAUACUCAAAGGAGAGGUCGGCAAUCCCUCUUGUUAAGCCACACAAUUUCAUGCAUUCUGAUGAUAAUCUUAUUCUGGAAGAUGAAAGUGGAAGAGUUGCACUUGCAGGAGCCAUACCUCCAGCAGCUUAUGUGACUGGAGUUGUAGUAGCUCUUCAUGGGAAGGAAACAAGUGCUGGCAACUUUCUUGUUGAAGAUGUUAUGGAGGCUGGUCUUCCUCCUCAAACUGUGUUGCCCAGCAUAAAUGAGGACAAGUAUGUUGUUUUUGUGUCGGGAUUAAGUGUUGGGAGCAGCACAUUCAAUCCUCUGCAGUUCCAACUUCUUAUUGACCAUAUCACUGGGCAUUUGGGUGAUGAAAAUGAGCAAACCAUAGCAUCGAAGAUAGUUCGUGUUGUGGUUGCUGGAAAUUCAGUACAUAUUGCACCAAGGUUCUUGAAUGGCCAGACAGUAGCUGCAAAAGAUCAACCAAGGAUAGCUGAGCCAAUCAAAGAACUAGAUAUAAUGCUGACUCAGCUGGUGGCGUCAUUACCUGUAGAUAUAAUGCCAGGUUGUAACGAUCCAGCGAAUUUUGCUUUGCCUCAGCAGCCUUUGCAUAGAUGCCUUUUCUCUGGAGCAUCCACCUAUAAUACGUUUUCAUCAUGUCCGAAUCCACAUCAAUUCGAUCUUGACAAUGUCAAGUUUAUUGGAACAUCUGGGCAGAACAUAGAUGACCUCUACAGGUACUCGGAUGCCAAAGAUAGGCUGGAAUUCAUGGAAAGGACAUUGAAAUGGCGCCAUCUUGCUCCGACUGCACCGAACAGCCUAGGAUGUUAUCCAUACACAGACAAGGACCCUUUCCUCGUCGAAACCUGCCCCCAUGUUUACUUCGUCGGGAAUCAAGAUAGAUAUGAGACUCGACUGUUAAAAGGAACGGAGAAGCAGCAAGUCAGGCUAAUCAGCAUUCCAAGAUUUUGCGAGAGUGGAAUCGCUGUCAUGCUCAACUUGAGGAACUUGGAAUGCAGCACCUUGAGCUUCUCAACGAGCUUCGAGGACGCCUGA
rnacentral:rRNA from 1 species